UCGACGCUGGUGGGAGGGCUUUGGCCUGUGGAAGAAGGAAAACAAAGCCGGCCGCGUUGUCCCAGCGGUAGAAAAACCCCAGGUCUAGGGACCUGUUCACUGGUGGAUAUGCUAGAAAGCGUUUCACGUCGUAAAAGAAGUACCUGCCAAGGUAGAGAAGUGUCGACGGCAUCUUGGAAGUGAUGAGGUAAAUGGCUCAAGUUUAAAGCCUUGUUCCAGUUGCUGCAAGGUGCCUCAAGGAACGCUAUUUGGUGAGUUUUGUUUACACAUGAGAUAUGCACAUCUGUUUUUCCCACCGCAAUCGUUGGUUUAUGUUAGCUAGUCAUCGUAACCAUCCACGCUCUGGAAUGAGAUGUGACUACAAGAUUUGGUAUCUUUGGUCCGUCACUGUCUGGGAAGACUCCUGUGAGAUGAAAGAGUGGAAAAGACAUUGUCCACUCCAGCCAUACUAAACUAUUUUUAAUUCCCUGAAAGCCUUUUGGUGAUUUUCGCCUAUUGUCUUUUUUAAAACUUUUUUUAUGGAAAAUUUCAAACACAGAUAAACAGAAUAGUAUAAUGAACCCCUCUUACUCAUCACUCAACUUCAGCUAUUAAUAUUCUACCACACUUAUUUCAGCUGUGCCAUCCAUUCCCCAGCCCCUCCGUUUGAUUAUCAUUAUUUUUACAGUUGUUAAGGUAGAAUUUACAUACAUUGAUAUGCACAAGUGUUAACAAUUUUGACAACUCGAUAUGCUUGUGUACCUACACCCUUACCAGAUUUCCAUCUCAUGAGGAAGAUCUUCCUUCUUUCUCAGGUGACCCCUCAGUCCCCCAAAAGCAACCACUGACUUUUUUUACUCUAGAUUAGUUUUGCCCAUUCUAGAACUUCAUAUAAGUGGAAACAUACAAUUUUUAUAUACCUUUUUGUGUCCAGUGUCUUUUUUCAGCAUUAUGUUUGUGAGAUUCAGACAUGUUGUUGCAUGUAUCAGUACACUAAUUCAUCCUUUUUAUUGCUGAGCUCUAAUAUACCGCAACUUGUUUACCCAUGCUCUUGGGUUGUUUUCAGUUUUUGGCUAUUAUGAGUAAAGCUGCUUUGAACAUUUUUGUACAAGUCCUUUUGUGAACAUAUCUUUUCACUUGGAUAAUUACCUAGGACUGCCAUUGCUGGAUCGUAAGUUAAGUAUAUGUUUAACUUCACAAGAACCUACCACGUUCUUUGCCACAGUGAUUAUAUCAUUUUCCACUCCCUCCAGCAAUAUAUAUGAGUUCUAAUGGUUCCACAUCCUCAUCAAUACUUGGUAUUGUCAGUCUUAAAUUUUAGCUAUUCUAGUGGGUAUUGUUGAUGCAAGUAUUCCAUACCAACCUAUCAAUCAAAAUUUGGGUGGGUUUACUAUGAGCCAGAGUGAGGAUUAUAACCUGGGAAGGCCUUAGAAGGCAUUCUGGAGAAGCAUGGAUUUCAGUACAGUCUUAUAUCUUUUUAGAACAAGGAACAUACAUUAAAGACACCCAGGAUACAUUUUCAUCAAAAUUCCAAAGAGAUACUCAGUUGCAAAUUAGCAAAUGAACAUGACGGUAAUACCAGGAAAGGGACUAAUCCAAAUGUUACCAAUAGGGCAUUACCAAUAGUGCAUAGGAGGGGAAGUAUGCAUUCUUAUCUUAAGAGAGUGCAUUCUUUAAUGGUUAAGCAGAUGUACAGUGUAUGUUUGAUAGGCCAUAAGUCAGGCAUUUUAGUUCAAGCCAAGUAAGCUUUGAACCCAAAUGGUUACCCCAUGUACCUCAGUAUGUGAAAAUCUCUUGUCAGUAUGAAGUAGUAUCUCAAUUUAGGAUAAAUUUACAUUUCCCUGAUGACUAAAGAUAUUGAGCGUGUUUUCAUGAGCUUCAUACUUCAGCCUCAUAUAUUUUUCACGUGAGUUUCCCUUGCCCACCAGAACACUUAGUACCACCCUUAUCUAGUUAACUACUCGCGCCUUAUCUUGUCCUCACUUUAUUGAAAGGAAUUCUUCCUCCAGUGAAGAGAGAAGGAAAUCAGCCUAAAAGCUACCUGAGAACCAGUUUUCUAGAAUCAAUGGCAACCAUUGUCUUUUUGUGGCGCCCUGGAACCUUAGGCCAGAGGAAACUCCCCUUUCCUGCGUCCUCCUCCAUGUCCCAGUUGAGGAAAUACAGCCCAAGUCUUAGCUGCUCAUUCAAGUUUGAUAUUAAGAGGUUUGAAAGCUUUGUAAGACUGGGACUUAAGUUGAGACAGAGCGUACCAUAAAAUCUAAAGGAAAGUACUAUGUGGAAAUUUUAUUGAAGAACAGUAAGCACCUCCACUUCAGUGUUUCCUUUUGAAGGGAUAAUCCUGUGGCUUUCAAGCCUGUGGAGAAAUAGGAUGAUUACAAUUUACAGCAUGAGAAAGAAAUACUGUUUCCUUGGGAUACAGACACUAAGUUCCCAUUGAUUAGAAAGGCAGUGCAUUCUCUUGCUGGGUGUGCUGUGUAAAGCCCCUCCUGGACCUGUUGCCAACGUCUUCUGAGAAGAGAGGCAGAAAUUUUUCUCAGGCCUCCCUUAGCCUGGCCUUCAGUGACUGCCUGGGGGUUGAGGAGAAGCAUGCAAGGAUCCUGUGUGGGAAGAAAGUAGGACUGCUAUCAGAAGGAUUACAGUUUAUGCUUUUCAUAUCUUGCCACCCUCAGUUGCUGGCCUUUGGUUUCCUCCCACUAAGAGGAAGCUUUCCAGUGUGUUUACAGUCAGUUAACACCUCCAAAGCAGGUACUUUUGGUGCCCCGCUCAUAUCCACUGGGCACUCAACAUUCCUGUACAUGCUGACAGCUUUCUAUUGCCAAUACCUGCAUCCCUUAGCCUGAGAGCUUUCUCUAUCGGAGCAUGCUGGGUGCCAGGCAGGCUGGAAGUGCCAGGGAGUUAACAUCCCUGGGAACAGCCCUCAAACUAAUGACAGAUGGGAUUUAGAGGCUAAAUUCUCCCAUCUUCUCAUCCUUUGGUGGGACAACUCUCAGAUAUGCUCCACACCGCCUCCCAGAGUUGCACAGUAGAAUUGAGCCCCAACUCCCCACAGCAGUAACAGACUUAUGAUUGCAUCUUCUGUGGGCUUCCUCCCCUCCACUGGCUCCCUGUCCCCUCCCCUCCCAGUGCUUCCUGAGAUUGCUUCCAAAUAAACUCCUGGCCUCAAUCCUAGUCUCAGGGUCUGUUCUGGAGAAACUCAAUCUAGGUUAACUUAAUAUCAAGAAAACACUAAUAAAAUAAUAUUAGGAAGAACAUAUUGUUAAUAAAUCAUCUGAUACUCUAAAUGCUUCACUCCACAUCCAGCAUUCCUAAAGACCUAGAAUUCACUCCCUUUGAGUUUACCUGUUUUUAUCCCCGAAAUAUUAUUGUUAGGGAAUUCUUCUCAGGUGAAGAUCUAGUUUAGGAAAUAACCCCCAAACUAAGGGACUUUGUCUCACAUAUUUGAGUUUAGAUGGAUAAUCAGCUACUUGAUUUCUCAAAGCAAAUUGAUAUAAUGUAUAAUAUUGCCUCCCAGCAUAUUAAGAUACUUCUGCAUAAUAAAAGAUAUCCUCAAUGUAUUGAUGUUUUGGUUUUACUCACCUCCGCCUGCUUUUGGAAACAAAAAUGGAAAGCAAGAAUAAUUUUGCUGAAGAAAGAGAGAAGGCUGAUGCUGGUAUAUGUGUGUGUGGACCCAGGAGUCCUAAGCAUUCUUUGCCCUCCACACUCUCCUCCUUCAAAAACGUUAACACAGCAACAACUAAAAUAUUCUGGCGAGUUUGGGUUUAUGACUGUGUCAUAGGUUGAUAAAUUUGGUAAAUAGCUCCACAUAAUAUUUUUACAGGUCAGUCCUCAGAAGAGGAUCGCAAAAUUGAAACGUCAGGAUUCCGUAGCUCAAGAUGCUAGAAAUCUGGCACCAAGAUAGGUUUGAUUCCCCGUCCAUUAAAAUAUUUCUUCUUAAAUCUCACUUCCAAAUCCAGAGAUUCAGGUGUGAAGCUUAAUUCCAUAGCCUCCCUCCAAAUAAUUAUCUUCCAGGUCAUCUGGGCGGCUCUGCUCCCUGUGUCUUCACCCUUUUUGGACCAGUGACUAGUCAAGACACGCUCCUCCCAUGGCGAUGAGAGAGGCGCAAGAGGGCACACCCAUGCACUCACGCACAUUUCAAGCCCCUGGUUGUGUCACAUCUGCCAAAGCAAGUCACAUGGCCAAGGCCAAAAUCAAGGGGUGGGAAAAGGAUAUCCCCCUUAAUGGAGGUGAAAGGAUGAAGGAGUAAACAUUUUUGACAAUAACCUACCACAGCAGGUAAGCUACUGAAAAGUCAGUCAAGGGCAGGCUACACUUUGUUCAAUUAAAGGGAGGAGAAUUUUUGUUUCAGUUUUCCUCUCAUUCAGCACAGGUGAACCAGAGUGACUUUAAAAAAUAUCAGGCUAAAUUUCCUGGCAUCCAGAAACAGUUUCUUAAAGCAGAGAUCAUAUUGCCCUAGAAAUGGAGGCAUUUUGAGGUUUCAGAUGUUAAGCCAAUCUUAUGGUUAGGAAGAUCCCAUUAUCUGUUCAUGACUAAACUGAGAUUGCCAGACUUUGAGAUCUGAACUAGCCUUGAACAUUUAUUUUUCCCUGCAAGGUUCAGAUCCCGAAAGAAUCACUUUCAUUCUGAAUCCUGGGACGAGACUCAGCAGAUACCAGGCAAUAUGCCUGUUAGUGAUUCCACAGUCUGGGUAUCCAAACAGUGGUCAAAGUGUCCAAAACCAGUAUUUCCUUAUCCGCACAGGCUUUCCUUAAUUAGUAACUGAUUUGUACUUUGAGGUUUAUUCAAUUUGGAAGAGGUUAAAGUUGAAGAUUCCAAUAGCUUUCACCAGUUUAGUAUACACUGAUUCUUUCUCAGUCCAAGGAGGGGAGAAAGGUGUUUCCCCUUGCAUAGGAUUAAAAAGGAGCAAAAAACCCUUAGUUAUCUUUGGGAAGGAAAGAAUUAUUUAAAAUGGUGAACAGCAAAGAAAAUAGCAGAAGAUUAACCAGAAAUCUUCAUUAUGCUCCUAGUGCAGUGUGUGAAUCCAAUGAGUGUCCUUAAAUGAUGAGUUGAUUUCAAAAGAAAUAUUAGCUUCAGAUUCUAGCUAUUGAGUGACUGUAUAGAAAUUCAGAGCAGAGAGACCAAUAGGGUUGCAGUCAUGACAAACCCAACAGAUCAGAGGACCCACAGGUACUGGGACUGGAAUUUAAGAAUAAAUUGGUUUGAAUAGAUGACGAAGAAGGAAAAUGUCCUGGAAAACAAAGAAUGUGAGUAAAGUUUUGGAGUUAUAAAUGAACAUGGGUAUAGGGAGUAGUGAGAAGAACACCUUGACCCAAAUGGGAAAAUGGUCACAAACUAGGUGAGAUAGAGACUAUAAGGCAGGAUUAUGAGAGUCUUAAUAGGCAUAGGAACUUAGAGGUUAUGUGGUGGAUGUUAGAAGCUGUUGGGACUUCUUAGUGGGGAAAUUUAGUGCAAACAUCUCCAGUUGUCACAACAGGCUGGUUUUCAUUGUGACUCUUGGCCAGCUUUUGACUUGGAGAUAGUAAUGAUCAUCGUGGAUGAAAGAGGAGAUGAUUCAUGUGUAUUUUGACUCCUUUACAAAUGUGAUUUUAGCCUGAAUCAUAGAAAGAGUCUGUAGCCUUUUCCCAUGGCUUUUGUUGGCAACAACUGUAUGUUCCCAUGGGAACAUGCAUACUUACCUAUCCAAACCUUCCUCUUAUGUUUAUGCCCUCAACUUCUGUUCACUUGGAUGUUUUCAUCUUUUCUACGGAGCACAUUCACAUACAAGCUUAAAAUACAGUCUGUAUUUUUAUUACAGCUGAGGAUUCAUCCCGAACAUUUUCAAAUACAUAAAACUCCAGGUAUAACUCCAAACCAAACAUGAUGAAAGGAGGCAUUUGGAUAGACCACAGAAAGAUACACCAUCACAUUGCACACCAGCUGCUGUAAACACUUCAGCUUUCUGCAGCAACCAGAGGAAGGAAUUAUGACUCAGCGUGCUUCUUCAGUGGUUGGUUCUGGACAGCCUUUUUAAACUCUAAUCCAAAAUAGAAAUAACGUACCUCCCGUGUGUUCAAGAAGCUUGCACUCCUGGGGAUGACAAUGCCCUUUCCAUCUGCAGGAAAGAAGUUCUCCUCUGAUCGCGACGGCAAAGCAGCAAACAUUUGCUGACCUCCAUAAUUCCGCACUGAACUCUUUCCUCAGACAGGACACCCUAAUUUCUCUGUUACUUUAUUCCUUUGCCAAAUUCUAAUGGUUUAAAAUCAAAAAAAGAUGAAGUUAAAUAAUAGCUGUUGUGUGUUUUUGAGAAAGUUUGAGUUUGGUUACUGUGGGUUUUCUAAGAUAUUGCUUUCCUUAGUUUAUACAAAAAAGCAUUUAUUGAUCUAGGUUUUAGACCAAGUGCUGAUGACACAGACAUGAAUAACAGUUCCUCUGGCGUGUUUCAAGUAAAACAAAUAUGUAAAAACUAAGCUAUAAUACAAUUUAAUACGUGUUUUGACAGAGGUGCACAAGCUGUGGGAACAUGGGAGAAAACAUAAUUGAUUCUGUGGUUCCAGGGAAGCCUUCAGAGAGCAGAAGGCAUUUGGGCAAAUCUCGAAGGAUGGGCACGGGCUCCGUAAGUGGAGUGAGAGCACUUAAGGCAGAGAACAGGAAGAAUAAAAGCACCAGUACAUCAAAGUGCAGUGUUGGCUGUGAUUUCCUUUCAUUCCAGAUGAGACAAGUCAGGAAUCCGGGGACAGACAUGCAUCUGGGAGGCUGCCCUCCUCAACGCAGACUUAGCUCAGACCCACUGCAAGCAGAAAUUUCAGGACUGCAGAAUCAGGCUGAUUAAAUCAUAAGGGUCAGACUUCCUUGAGAGCAAAAUGUUUGCAAACACCUUCAUGGAAAUGGGACAAUGGACUCAAGAGAACUGCAGGUUUUCCAGACGAUCAGGAAACAUGAUUUCUGGAGGAGGAGCCACAUUCUUCUAGAGGGAACCCAAGGGGAAUGCCACAAGGUUUUAGGAACUACAAGUGGUCCCAGCUUCCUCCUCUAGUCCCCAGAAUGCUUCAUUGUCAUUUUCCUGAUGACGUACUCUUUACUUUACUGAAAUAUGAGCUCACUCCGUGCCCCGGUUUCCUAGGACUGCCCUAACAAGUUCCCACAAACUUGGUGGCUUAAAACAACAGAAAUUGAUUCUCUCACCAUCCAGGAGACCAGAAGUCUGAAAUCAGGAUGUCAGCAAGGGUGGUUCCUUCUGGCCACUCUGACGGAGAAUCUGUUUCAUGCCUCUCCUAGUUUCCAGUGGUUGUCAGCUAUCCGUGUUACUUGUAGACAUAGCACUCCCAUCUCUGCCUCGAUCUCCACGUUACCUUCUUCUCUGUGGCUCUGUGUGUCUCAAAUCUCCCUUUCCCCUUUCUUAUGAGGAUAUAAGUCACUGGAUUUACAACCCACCUUAAAUCCAGAAUGAUCUCAUCCCAAGAUCCUUAAUUUAAUAAUAUCUGCGAAGAUCCUGUACCCAAACAAGGUCAUGUUCACAAGUCCCAGGAGUUAGGACUUGGACGUAUCUUUUGUGGAAGGGACGCUAUUUAACCCAUUAUGCCCCCCUUUCAUUGCGACAUCCUGUGGGUUAGUGCUAUAGAUGUCUUCUGAGCACCUGUAAAUGGACUCUUUGAUCUUGUCCAGAAACUGAGUACUGGGACAGAAAGACACAAUAUCUUAACUCCCAUUGGCUCGGAGUAAAAUAAAGGUUCAAAUUAUC